GUAAGAUGAGCACUCUAAUGAGACCGCCGGUGACAAACCGGAUGAAGUGGGGAUGACGUCAAAUCAUCAUGCCCCUUAUGACCUGGGCUACACGCGUGCUACAAUGGCCGGUACAAAGAGUCGCAAAACCGCGAGGUGGAGCUAAUCUCACAAAACCGGUCUCAGUUCAGAUUGUAGUCUGCAACUCGACUACAUGAAGGUGGAAUCGCUAGUAAUCGCAAAUCAGCAUGUUGCGGUGAAUACGUUCUCGAGUCUU
rnacentral:rRNA from 1 species